rnacentral:rRNA from 1 species
UACGGUGGGGGCGAGCGUUAUUCGGAAUUAUUGGGCGUAAAGGGCGCGUAGGCGGCUUGAUGUGUCAAAGGUGAAAUCCCUCGGCUCAACUGAGGAACUGCCUUUGAAACUGUCUGGCUUGAGGCCGGGAGAGGGUAGCGGAAUUCCCAGUGUAGCGGUGAAAUGCGUAGAUACUGGGAGGAACACCGGUGGCGAAGGCGGCAUCCUGGACCGGUAUUGACGCUGAGGCGCGAAAGCUAGGGUAGCAAACGGG